GUGGUGCAUGGCUGUCGUCAGCUCGUGCCGGUGUUGGGUUAAGUCUCGCAACGAGCGCAACCCUCGUGUUUAGUUGCCACUAUGAGUUUGAAACCUUGAACAGACCGCCGGUGUUAAGCCGGAGGAAGGAGAGGAUGAGGCCAAGUCAUCAUGCCC
rnacentral:ncRNA from 1 species